CUGAUAGUCUUCUCUGAGGGUACCAAUCAAAGGUCAAGACCUUUUUCACAACAUCACUGAUCUUCCUUGAAAAUCCAUGGAGAGUGGAUAGAUCAGAUAGUGGAGUGGUAACUGAAGAAAUAAAGAGGAAGUUGCUCAGGACAGAAGAUAAAAACAUGAGACAAAGGAAACAAACUGCUCUUGGAUAGGGUGCUUCUGAGGCUGGGAUUCUUCCCAGGGAAGACCACGCUGCGGAUCUACUGCUGCAUAAGGAGCCAUGCCAAAAGAUCCAGCUCCCUGACCAGGGAUUGAACUUGGGGCCCCUGCGUUGGAAGCAUCGAGUCCCAGCCUCUGGACAACCAGGGAAGUCCCUACAGCUCCAUUUUCAAUCAAGAACACUGAGGCUCAGUGGAGAGGUCCUGGUAAGGAACAAGGAACUAAUAAGCCACCACCAACCAGAAGAGUUCAGGAAAUGUCAAAAGGAGACACCACAUGUCCGACCACCUCCCAGAAUCCUCACUGGCAUCCAUCUUGGCUGAACAAGGUGUGCACCACCAGGAGGGAGUCUUAGUCAGAAUGACUGGAUAAAGACAACCCAGAAACUAAUCCCAUCACCAUAAAACCAAGACUGCAGCCAUGUGGCAGAGCAGUUCUCCUGUGUUCCCUUGCCCUACUGCUCUCCACCCAGGCACCCUUUCCCAAU
ensembl:lncRNA